AAAAAAAAAAAAAAAAAAGCAUAAUGAAAAGAGAAGCAGCAGCAACCAAGGACAGCAGAAGAUAGAAACAAAGACGAUCCAAACAAGACAGAAGGAAAAGGAUUUAAGGCGUGUACACCCCAUAAAUUGAAAGAUCAACCGCAUGUGACCUAUGCACCCCCAUAAAUUGAAAGAUCAGCUGCGGGUGACCUGGGAAAAAGUGCUCUGACAUAAUCUUGGCAACAGAGAUGGAAAUUCCGGUAACAUUCUGGGGCAUAUCAAUGCCGGAUACGGGCAUCCAAUUUCCAGGUCUAGUGAUGGUGAUCUUUUAGUAUAAGAAGCUCGCUGAAUGUGAAGGUUUAUGAAGUAUGCCUUUUUUAUGCCUCCCAGCCCCAACAAGUAGGCAUGCGCCUAAGUAACAUCACCUACCUUUGAGGCUCAGACCCUUGGGCCCAGUGCACCUUGAACCUGAGGCACACCACACACCUCUUUGACAAAUAUGCUACUCUCUAAUCCCCAUCAUCAAAAACAUGCUUAAAAAAUUAGAUAUGCCAAAUUCCAUGAUCCUCUUUUUGAAAAUUAAAAUUUUAAGAGAAAUACAUGGUUCAAUAAUUUAUCCCGCACAUAAUGCUGAUUACAAAAUCAAACUUGUAGAAAAAAUAGAUAUACACCAAGAAUUUUCGAUUAUUAUCAUUGUAUUACACGAUUCACUUAUGCAGCAUAACAUGUAGCUAGACUUGGCAGAGGGCCGAUUCAGAACCAGAGCCAAACUGGUUAAAUUCAAAUUGAACUGAUUCAAAUUGAAGCAGGUCAAAAUUUGGAUUGACCAAAAUGACAUUGAACUGGACCAGAACCUAACAGUUCAGUUCCUGACCCAACUGGAUUUUUUUCUUCCUUCUAAAAAAAUUAAGAAAAAAAAAAUUCAACCAUUGGCUUUGAUCAAAGCCAGAACUAAACUGGAACCAAACCAGGAAUAUCCCGGAAUACCAGUUUCAGUCCCCUUGAACUGGAACCACCAAUUCAGGCCCAAACCAGGGCAGAAUCAGCUGGCCAUGUAUGCAUUUAGCUAUUGAGAUAACUAUUGAGUACCCAAUAUGGAAUGGAUCAACACCAAAAUCAAAAAAGCAAGCAUUGUUUGCAUCCUACAGAAAUUAAGCAUUAAAUAUUUCUAAGAAAUUCAGGAACAUGACUAGUUUCAUCUACAUCCAAGAAAAGGUUCAUCUAAUAUAUAAAAAGUCCUAUUGAAAGGCAAAACCACGGUUUCCAUUAAAUAUAGAAGCAUAAAUAACUUGUUCAAAUUUCAAAAGGUUGUGCCACCUUUUAACAUCAUUACUGGGACAUCCACUAUAAUUCAAUGGGUAGCGUAAAAUAAAUGCUCAACAACAUGCCAAUUUGUUAAAUAGUCAAGGUUUAAAAUACAAGAUGAGAAUGAAAAACAAAUAAAAAAAUAGUAAUGCUAAAAAACAAAAAUUGUACCAUCUUGAAGGGCAGUCAUGACUUCAGGAUCACUAAAAGCAGUCAUCAGUUCUGGGUCCUGCCAAAAAAGGACAAAUUAUAGGACAGAGCAUUCACUGACUUUAAGAAUUCAUUUAUCUACAACAAUUUAGGCAAGACUGAAUUUAUAUCUAUGCAUCCACGUCAACGUGUGCAUGUGCAGUGUGCCCAUUUGCUUGUACAUGUGCAUUUGCACAUCUCUGACAGCAAGAAAGAUUAUCAUAUGAUCAAAGUAAAACAUGUGGUCAUUAGUCACUCCCAUUAUAGUUGGAAAAGGUAUAAGAGCAAUUUUUUUCCCCAAAUAUGAGCAAGUUCAAGAGGGGGAAAAAAGAACCUUCAAAUUUUUUAGGGAAUAUAAAAAGGAAAACUAUAAACAAUCUCAAAUAUACUUACAUUCAAGAUUGUACUGAAAUCGACAUUUCCUGGCAUUCCCCCUGGCAUGGCACCUGGAAAACCUCCAGGCAUUCCUCCUGGCAUUCCACCAGGAAACCCACCAGGCAUUCCUCCCGGCAUUCCACCAGGAAAUCCACCAGGCAUACCUCCAGGUUUUCUGCUAGAAGAAGAUUGCUCUUGCUUUUUUGCCUUCUCAUACUCAGCCUGUGCUUUGGCACGUCGACGUUGUCUCUCACGUUCAAUCUUUCUAUCCUCUCUCUCUUUGCCCAACCUUUCAUACUUCCUCCGAUGAUCCUCAAUCUUGUGUGCAUUGGGUUCAACCUUCUUGAGUACGGCACUUAUUUCCUCAUCAUAAUCUAACUUUGAUGCCAGGUGAAGGUCUUUGGCAGCCUCUUCCCACUGACCAAGCAUUGCUCGUGCCAUGCCACGAGAUUUGUAGCCCUUAGCUGAAUCUGGGUUAAUCUCAAGUGCAGCAUUAGCAUCCCGGAUGGCAGCAUUGGGUUUCUUCAUUUUGAUGUAAACAGUAGCUCUGGUCGCAUACAUGAUUGCUGAAGUCGGAUUGAGGGAAAUAGCCUCAGAUAACUGGUCAAUCGCUUCCUCCAGUUUACCUUCAGAGAUGGCCUCCAUAGCUUUGGCCUUUGCCCCUUGCGAAGCCUCGCGAUUCUCCUCUGUGACUUCUACUGACGGGUCACCCAUCUUCUGAGGAGGAUCAUUAUCAGGCUCAACAGUCUCGCCCUCAAGCUCAAUGUCCGAUUCGAUUAUCUCAUCCUCCUCCUCCUCUUCUUCCUCUUCGGGCUCUCUUUGUGGAGCUUCCUUAUCCUCAAUUUCCUCGUCGCUCUCCUCCACGACAUAGCUCUUCGAUUUGGAGUCUGCGUGGUUGUAAGCAGAUGGAGGGAGCUUAGCGUCGAGACUCUCGAGGUAGUCGCGGAAGAAGGAGAGGGAAGGAUCGCUAAGAAUGGAGGGAUUGGAUUUGCAUUGUUCGAUGAAAAGCUUCAGUUCUUUGACUUUAGCUGCGUCCAUUUUGCGUGUGGUGUAGCAAAGGCAGAAAUUGAUCAAAGGGUAGAGAACGGAGUAAAGGAAACUCAGGAGACAGAAGUGUGACGAAGUACGCACGGUUCUUCUAGCACCUUCUAUUAGGAUGUGGAGUUCAUUUUAUUUUUAAUGGCUUUCAAAUGCAGUCUGAGGAUUCAUCUGUUUCACAGUGAGGCGGGCCCAGACAUAGUUGCAGUUGGGCUCCGAACCCAACUAGAACGGAUCCAGUCAAAUUCAGAUCGAAUCGAUCAAUAAUUUUUAGGCUCACUCCAG
rnacentral:misc_RNA from 1 species